CUUCAAUCUUAAGUAACCUUUCAACUGUUGAAUGCUUGCUUCCAGGAACUUCAAUCAAUGAACAUAGUUCCUCGGUUAAAACUAGCUGAGGCAUGAAGUAUGGCUUUUCUUGACAGCACCAAGUCAACAAACUGAAAGUGAGAUUUGAUUUUGCGGUUUUCCGUACUACUGAUUCUAUUCUAAAGAGUCAUACCGAAAAAUGAAAAAUGCUCCAUUCUAAAGCCAGCUAGCCAUCAGAUGUGGAAACCCGCAUAAUGUGGUACAGGGAUGGGCAUGGUGAAGAGGGUUGGCACAAGGUUUUCUCUGCCCCGCUUAUGUUCAUCUUUUGUUGCUGCUUAGAGAGGCAGGAAGUAUGUGCCGUAUACUUUGUUCUUCUCAAAUGGAAACAACUUGUAUCUCUCAAUGUAUACAUUUUUUUCUUCUAAAUAAUGUAUCAUUUAUUCUAGAAAGGGCUUUGGCGCCUAUUCUGAGUACACAGUAAUAAGUUAAUAAAUAUGCACCCCUACCCUCAAAAUUGUCUCUCUCAAGGGCAUAAAACCGAAAGUAAAAUAUGAAUAUAUCAACAUGUGGACGAGGCAUUGGUGAGACUCCCAAAUAUCAGUUACGAAGAAAUUAGUCCUUACAUCUGCGUCUUUCACAGAAGUCACAGGGACGUUCUUCGCUGCAACUACUUCACUGACCAAGGUCUACAACUACUAUUGUGUCUCCCUUGGAUUUUAUGCACCUUAAUAAGCAUGUCAUACUCUGGCACCAGCCAAGCAUCAAGGUGUUCAUUCCGCAGUAGGGAAAUGAGGGUGGGAAGGGGAACCUCAAAGACACAAAGGAGUCGUGGAAGGUGCUUCUGGAAAUACAAUACAUCAUAUGUAAUUAAGACUGACCCAAAAAAAAUACUGAUUUUGUGUUGUUUCGGAAUGUAGAAAUGUGAUAUUUCUUAUUCUAGAGCCAAGUUUGGAUUUGGU